rnacentral:SRP_RNA from 1 species
GAUUUUUCGAGCUGGGGAUUUGCAUCCUGAUCUUGUUGAACACGGCGAGCGUGGGGUACCAGGCGGACUGGGCCGUCAAAAACGUGGGCGCGGAGGAGCCUCGGUUCUUCCGCGUCGU